rnacentral:rRNA from 1 species
CCGCGGUAUCCUAACCGUGCGAAGGUAGCGCAAUCAAUUGCCUUUUAAAUGAAGGCCUGUAUGAAUGGUAUGACGAGGGUUUGACUGUCUCUUUUUUCUAGUCAGUUAAACUGAUCUGUCCGUGCAGAAGCGGACAUAAAAAUACAAGACGAGAAGACCCUAUGGAGCUUUAGACACUAACCAGCUAUGAAAAGCAGUUUAAAUUAAACACACUCCAAACAAUCAUAGAAUUGGCAUAACAGUCUUAGGUUGGGGCGACCACGGGAGAAAACAAAGCUCCCGAGCAGAUCAGGAUACCCCUGAAAUCAAGAGCUACAGCUCUAAGUCACAAAAAUUUUGACUGAAAUGAUCCGGCCACCGGCCGAUUAACGAACCAAGUUACCCUAGGGAUAACAGCGCAAUCCCCUUCCAGAGUCCAUAUCGACAAGGGGGUUUACGACCUCGAUGUUGGAUCAGGACAUCCUAAUGGUGCAACCGCUAUUAAGGGUUCGUUUGUUCAACGAUUAAAGUCCUACAUGAUCUGGUCUCAAAAACACAGGAAA